rnacentral:rRNA from 1 species
CACUCCUGCGGGAGGCAGCAGUGGGGAAUUUUGGACAAUGGGCGAAAGCCUGAUCCAGCAAUGCCGCGUGAGUGAAGAAGGCCUUCGGGUUGUAAAGCUCUUUUGUCAGGGAAGAAACGGUGAAAGCUAAUAUCUUUUGCUAAUGACGGUACCUGAAGAAUAAGCAACGGCUAACUACGUGCCAGCAGCCGCGGUAAUACGUAGGGUGCAAGCGUUAAUCGGAAUUACUGGGCGUAAAGCGUGCGCAGGCGGUUUUGUAAGUCUGAUGUGAAAUCCCCGGGCUCAACCUGGGAAUUGCAUUGGAGACUGCAAGGCUAGAAUCUGGCAGAGGGGGGUAGAAUUCCACGUGUAGCAGUGAAAUGCGUAGAUAUGUGGAGGAACACCGAUGGCGAAGGCAGCCCCCUGGGUCAAGAUUGACGCUCAUGCACGAAAGCGUGGGGAGCAAACAGGAUUAGAAACCCGUGUAGUCCCAUG